rnacentral:lncRNA from 1 species
GUCCCACAACCUAGUUAUUCUGACUGUGACAGUGGACUUGGGAGUAACACCAGAGAGAUCGUCGAGAAAGAGAGGCACACCAUCAGGUAUGACUUCCUUAGUCCUACACAAAAGGAAAGAAUUUCCCUCACAUAAAAAAAUGGAAAAUGGGAAAAUGGCACCAUAAACAAAUUUAUAAAAAAGGGAAAAAGUGUUUUACUUUUUGAGACUAUUUUCAGCAGGUGACAUGGUGGAAAAUGGAAGAGGAUAUCACUAUAAUAGCCAAAUGGAGCAAGGCAAUAUGCAUGGAAUGAUAGUGAAAUGUGUCUAACUUAUAAAGGUGCAAAUUGUUUAAUGAUGUGUGUUAUAUUUGAAGGAAUGGGAAGGGGCAGAAUAUUUGAUGAGAAUGUCAAUUAAAGUUGAUACUUAUUUUGUAACUGAUAUUAGGAAUAUAAGUUAAUUGGGUCAUUAUCUCCAAUAAUUAUUGAUACUGCAAUUUUUAUCUUUGUUGGUUAAUCUUUUGUGUAAAUAGUCUUUUGAUGGGAAAAGGGAGUGACGUGCCCAUAAAUUUAUAUUUAGUGGAUGUAUGCAUCUAUANNN